rnacentral:rRNA from 1 species
UGGGGAAUAUUGGACAAUGGGCGCAAGCCUGAUCCAGCCAUGCCGCGUGAGUGAAGAAGGCCUUCGGGUUGUAAAGCUCUUUUAGUCGGAAAGAAAAGAUCAUAAUGAACAAUUAUGAUUCAUGACGGUACCGACAGAAAAAGCACCGGCUAACUACGUGCCAGCAGCCGUGGUAAUACGUAGGGUGCGAGCGUUAAUCGGAAUUACUGGGCGUAAAGGGUGCGCAGGCGGUUUUGUAAGUCAGAUGUGAAAUCCCCGGGCUUAACCUGGGAAUUGCGUUUGAAACUGCAAGACUAGAGUGCAGCAGAGGGGAGUGGAAUUCCAUGUGUAGCAGUGAAAUGCGUAGAGAUGUGGAAGAACACCGAUGGCGAAGGCAGCUCCCUGGGUUGACACUGACGCUCAUGCACGAAAGCGUGGGGAGCAAACA